AUUGAACGCUAGCGGCAUGCUUUACACAUGCAAGUCGAACGGAGUGGCGGACGGGUGAGUAAUAUAUCGGAACGUGCCUAGUAGCGGGGGAUAACUACUCGAAAGAGUAGCUAAUACCGCAUACUAUCAGAUCGGCCGAGAUGGGAUUAGCUAGUUGGUGGGGUAACGGCUCACCAAGGCAACGAUCCGUAGCUGGUCUGAGAGGACGACCAGCAACACUGGGACUGAGACACGGGCCAGACGCCUACGGGAGGAAGGAGUGGGGAAUAUUGGACAAGGGGGGAAAGCCUGAUGCAGCCAUCCCGCGUGUAUGAAGAAGGCCUUCGGGUUGUAAAGUACUUUUGGCAGAGAAGCGGUAUCUGCAGAAUAAGCACCGGCUAACUACGUGCCAGCAGCCGCGGUAAUUC
rnacentral:rRNA from 1 species